rnacentral:rRNA from 1 species
AUUGAACGCUGGCGGCAGGCCUAACACAUGCAAGUCGAACGCGUGUCGGAGAGGUGAGUAAUGUCUCUGAAACUGCGCGAUGGAGGGGGAUAACUACUGGAAACGCUAUCUAAUACAGCAUACCAUCUGAUGUGCCCAGAUGGGAUUAUCGAGUAGGUGGGGUAACGGCUCACCUAGGCGACGAUCCCUAGCUGGUCUGAGAGGAUGACCAGCCACACUGGAACUGAGACACGGUCCAGACUCCUACGGGAGGCAGCAGUGGGGAAUAUUGCACAAUGGGCGCAAGCCUGAUGCAGCCAUGCCGCGUGUAUGAAGAAGGCCUUCGGGUUGUAAAGUACUUUCAGCGGGGAGGCGUUACCCGCAGAAGAAGCACCGGCUAACUCCGUGCCAGCAGCCGCGGUAAUAC